rnacentral:rRNA from 1 species
UACGUAGGGGGCAAGCGUUGUCCGGAAUCAUUGGGCGUAAAGCGCGUGUAGGCGGCUCGGUAAGUCUGCUGUGAAAGUCCAGGGCUCAACCCUGGGAUGCCGGUGGAUACUGUCGAGCUCGAGUCCGGAAGAGGCGAGUGGAAUUCCCGGUGUAGAGGUGAAAUUCGUAGAUAUCGGGAGGAACACCAGUGGCGAAGGCGGCGACCUGGGCCAAUAUUGACGCUGAGGUGCGAAAGCGUGGGGAGCAAACAGG